UAUGGAGUCAAGAUAUAUUUUUGUUGUUGAUAUGGACUACGCUGAUGAGAGUAAUGUUCACUGUGAAGCUUACACUGUGAUUUACCUGAGAGAAAACAGAGCUGACCAUCUGAUCUUUACCAAGUCACACUGAAGGCAUCAAGGUCUAUUUGACCAAGAAGGAGAGUGAUGGGGUGCUGCGCCAGAUGACCUGGCCUCCACAGUCACCGGACCUGAACCCAAUGGAGAUGGUUUAGGGGUGAGCUGGACCGCAGACAGAAGGCAAAAGGGCCAACAAGUGCUAAGCAUCUCUCGGGAACUCCUUCAAGACUGUUGGAAGACCAUUUCAGGUGACUACCUCUUGAAGCUCAUCAAGAGAAUGCCAAGAGUGUGCAAAGCAGUAAUCAAAGCAAAAGGUGGCUACUUUGAAGAACCUACAAUAUGACAUAUUUUCAGUUGUUUCACACUUUUUUGUUAUGUAUAUAAUUCCAUAUAUAAUUCCACAUGUGUUAAUUCAUAGUUUUGA